rnacentral:rRNA from 1 species
AUGUAAUGUAAUGCCUACAGUUUUAAUGCAUCAGAUCCCAUUAUAAAUCCACAUUUAAGUGUGCUUGGGAUAGAUUAGUACUGGGAUGGGUGACCUCGCAUGAAAUCCUAGCGUUUUACAUG